GGCUUCGUGGUCAAAUGGUUAAGACACCACUCUUUCAAGGUGGGAUUGAUGGGUUCGAUUCCCUCCGAAGUCA
rnacentral:tRNA from 1 species